rnacentral:rRNA from 1 species
UACGUAGGGAGCAAGCGUUGUCCGGAAUCAUUGGGCGUAAGGCGCGCGUAGGUGGCUUCGUAAGUCCGUUGUGAAAGUCAAAGGCUCAACCUUUGAAAGCCGAUGGAUACUGUGAAGCUAGAGUACGGAAGAGGCGAGUGGAAUUCCUGGUGUAGCGGUGGAAUGCGCAGAUAUCAGGAGGAACACCAAUAGCGAAGGCAGCUCGCUGGGACGUUACUGACACUGAGGCGCGAAAGCGUGGGGAGCGAACAGG